rnacentral:rRNA from 1 species
GGGUCUAAAGGGUCUGUCCCCGGCUGAUAAAAGUCUCUUUGGAAAUCUGGCAGCUUAUCUGCCAGGUCUUCAGGAGAUACUGUUCGGCUCGAGGUCGGGAGAGCUGAGUGGUAUUUCAGGGUAGGGGUUCAAUUUUUGUAUUCCUUGAAGGCCCACCGUGGGGAAAGGGUUUUCCCCAGAAGGACCCUGACGCCAAGGGAGGAAACUUAGGGCCCCAACCGGGUUAGAUUCCCGGGUAGUUCUCACCGUAAACGAUUCCGGAUUGGUGUUGGCCACCGUUCGACCGUUGUUGGUCCCGUAGGGAAAGCGGUAAGCGAACCCCCUUGUAAGUACGGCCCCCAGGCUUAAACUUAAAAGGAAUAGCGGGGGAGC